rnacentral:rRNA from 1 species
GAUGAACGCUGGCGGCGUGCCUAAUACAUGCAAGUCGAGCGAACAGACGAGGAGCUUGCUCCUCUGACGUUAGCGGCGGACGGGUGAGUAACACGUGGAUAACCUACCUAUAAGACUGGGAUAACUUCGGGAAACCGGAGCUAAUACCGGAUAAUAUAUUGAACCGCAUGGUUCAAUAGUGAAAGACGGUUUUGCUGUCACUUAUAGAUGGAUCCGCGCCGCAUUAGCUAGUUGGUAAGGUAACGGCUUACCAAGGCAACGAUGCGUAGCCGGCCUGAGAGGGUGAUCGGCCACACUGGAACUGAGACACGGUACAGACUCCUACGGGAGGCAGCAGUAGGGAAUCUUCCGCAAUGGGCGAAAGCCUGACGGAGCAACGCCGCGUGAGUGAUGAAGGUCUUCGGAUCGUAAAACUCUGUUAUUAGGGAAGAACAAAUGUGUAAGUAACUAUGCACGUCUUGACGGUACCUAAUCAGAAAGCCACGGCUAACUACGUG